UUAUGGUCGAUCUCCUGGGUAUUAUGUCAUAUGUUAUGAGGUAAUUUUUAAUUUUAUGCAAUAAUUUCAUAUAUAGUUACUUAGUCUCAAUCUUCUGUAGGGCAAGGAAUAUGGGGGAGUGAUUCCGCCACCAACCCGCUCGUUAUAAUAUAGAUGUGGAUAUGAUAUAUUACUUAAAUUCUGAUUACAAAUUCAAGACUAAGUUUAAUUGAGUAUUAUUUUUUAUGCUUUAAAUUGGUUUGAUUUAGACUUGAAAUACUUGAUUUUGGCUCACUAUUAAAAAUUACUUAAGUUUUAGGAUAAUGACAUUCAAGUGACCUAAAUAUUUUAGACUUAGAAGUUUAUAUUUGAUUUUUUUUUCUUUGAAG
rnacentral:misc_RNA from 1 species